CCGUAGGUGAACCUGCGGAAGGAUCAUUACCAAUUUUAGCGAACCUGACCCUUGUUUGGUCAUGGUCUCGCGAAAAACUGUAUUUAAAACCCCACUCUUAAAAAUGAAACUUUUUAUAUAUAAAUAAAAUAAGAUCACUUUCAACAACGGAUCUCUUGGCUCUCGCAUCGAUGAAGAACGUAGCGAAGUGCGAUAAGUAAUGUGAAUUGCAGAAUUCCGUGAAUCAUCGAAUCUUUGAACGCAAAUUGCACUCUCUGGCACCCCGGGGAGUAUGCCUGUUUGAGGGUCAGUUUAAUAAAAAUCGGCGUGUCGCUUUCGUGACGCACCGGAGGUUGGGUCAUCUUAGCUUUUAGGUUAAGAGGCUUAAAAUUGAUAUCUUUUUUGCGCGCUUUUAGACGUACAUAAUUUUUUUAUUCGUCUAUUCCGGUGCCAAAAUUUACUAGGUGCGAUCAUGUUAUAUGGUCUUGUGCCUAUAAUUUCUCAUCUUUUGACCUCAAAUCAGGUAAGGACACCCGCUGAACUUA
rnacentral:rRNA from 1 species